AUGGUGCAAGGCUGCUGGCAAUUAUCGCUCGGUAAUCAAAAUGCCUGUGCUGAUAGACUAGUUGAGUUGAGUCAGGUGAUGGUACAUAGACAAUGGCAACACCAAAGCCAGUUUCAGUAUUUAUGUACCAGUCCAUACUUGAUGCUUACACACAAAGAAGUGACAUUUGCGUUACUGGACCUUGAAGGCCUGAACUUCUUUAAAACCAACCCCUUCAACAUCUUAGUCUUGACUACCAGGUGCACACAGUCAUUAGGAUUGCCUCUGGCUGUCUGGCAUGGGCUAGAAACAAGUGUGUAUUUCGAAGACCAGUAUCAUCUCACCUUGUGCGGCUCACUAAUAAAUGUGGCUGCCAGAAGGUGA
rnacentral:rRNA from 1 species